UGCCACAUGAGUCGUCAGUUGAAAGAUGCAUAUUUGAUCCAAUUUCACUUAUAUCAUUGUUAUCAACCGCUUCUGUUCUAUACAUACUGACUGCCCCAUCGUUUGGUGAAGAACUGCAACAAGAGCUCUGUGAUUUGUCAGAGUGGACAAGGAAGUCCUCUGAGCUCCAUGGACUCCUUGGCUUGCCAUUGAAAGUAGAUUCAACAUCUUCAAAUGGUUGAAGCAGUGUACCACGAUUUCUUUCGGAUUGAGAGCACGUUACAUCUCUUCUUGAUCUUCCCAUAUCGUUCAUGCGGUGCUGCAUUUGUGGUUGCUGGUGAUGACGGCACUGCUGGAACUUCUGCAUUGGCCUCUCUGUCAAUUUGACAGGAAUGUGGACAUGGGCAAUGACGAUCCUGGACGUGGAGGAGUCCUUGGCCAAGUUCUGCAGCGCCCACAGCAAGGCGGGUUCUCUGCCACCUCGCCGGUGUUGCCCGCAAACCUGCUCGCUGCCGUUCUGAAGCCGUGCUGUGCGCUCUCCGGUGUCUGUCCCCUCCCGGCACUCUCCAUUCCAGACUGGCUGUUCCUUGGACCAGGAACGGUUUCCGUAGUGUCAUGCAGCAGUGAACUGUUCGGGAGUAUGGAGUACUGCAGCUCUUCAUAAUAAGCUAUGUAUGAAGAAACCGGGCAAUUCUUUCUGAAGACACGAACGUUACAAGCAAUGGCGAGUCUGCGGCGUCAUUAGAAAAUUGCUUCCAAGAGUGAUCGCUUUGGUAUCUCCAAGACCGCAUCUUCCUUGAUCGUCGGAUAUUCAUGGUGGAUUGGUGGCGAAGGUGGAAUCGCGAAGGCCCAUAGUAUGCAUCGUCCGUUGCUCAUUGCUGGGUAUUUUUCUUCCAGUCGUCGUCCAACACGGUCGUUUCGAUGCGCGUGUGUGUACAUGCUUCAGCAUAUUCUGAGGUUACAUUACAUCUGCGCCGACUGCAUCUUCCUCUGCAGCGACUGAAACUUUUCCUCUUGAAUAAUCACGAGAUUCUUCGUCGUGUGUUUGAUCACGGUUUGCCUA